rnacentral:tRNA from 1 species
AAGCUUAGGAUAACACAAACCAAGGGCCUUCAAAGCCCUAAAUACUAAACAUCAACUAGUAGCUUC